rnacentral:rRNA from 1 species
AGUGAACGCUGGCGGCGUGCUUAACACAUGCAAGUCGAACGAGAACGGAUUAUAGCUUGCUAUAGUUGUCAGCUAAGUGGCGCACGGGUGAGUAAUGUAUAGGUAAUAUGCCUCUUACUAAGGGAUAACAAUUGGAAACGAUUGCUAAUACCUUAUAUUCCUUUUUAUCAAAAGAUAAAAAGGGAAAGAUUUAUUGGUAAGAGAUUAGCCUGUAUUGUAUCAGUUAGUUGGUGGGGUAAUGGCCUACCAAGACAAUGACGCAUAACUGGUUUGAGGGGAUGAUCAGUCACACUGGAACUGAGACACGGUCCAGACUCCUACGGGAGGCAGCAGUGGGGAAUAUUGCACAAUGGACGAAAGUCUGAUGCAGCAACGCCGCGUGGAGGAUGACACAUUUCGGUGCGUAAACUCCUUUUAUAUAAGAAGAUAAUGACGGUAUUAUAUGAAUAAGCACCGGCUAACUCCGUGCCAGCAGCCGCGGUAAAAC